AGCGGCAGGCCUAACACAUGCAAGUCGAGGGUAACAGAGAGAAGCUUGCUUCUUUGCUGACGACCGGCGCACGGGUGCGUAACGCGUAUACAAUCUACCUUUUGCUGAGGGAUAGCCCAGAGAAAUUUGGAUUAAUACCUCAUAGUAUAUCGCUCUCUCAUGAGGAUGAUAUUAAAGGUAACGGCAGAAGAUGAGUAUGCGUCCUAUUAGCUAGAUGGUGUGGUAACGGCACACCAUGGCCACGAUAGGUAGGGGCCCUGAGAGGGGGAUCCCCCACACUGGUACUGAGACACGGACCAGACUCCUACGGGAGGCAGCAGUGAGGAAUAUUGGACAAUGGAGGCAACUCUGAUCCAGCCAUGCCGCGUGCAGGAAGACUGCCCUAUGGGUUGUAAACUGCUUUUAUACAGGAAGAAACACUCCCUCGAGCAGGGAGCUUGACGGUACUGUAAGAAUAAGGAUCGGCUAACUC
rnacentral:rRNA from 1 species